rnacentral:tRNA from 1 species
UAACGAGGUUUGAGUCCUCUUCUUACCA